AUUUGGAUAGCUUAAAUUUAAAAGCUUAACUCUGAAGAAGUUAUAAUAGAUAUUUAUCUUCCAAAUG
rnacentral:tRNA from 1 species